AGCAUCCUAACACAAAUCAUUAAUCAUUAGCCAAGAAAAAAUGGAGCAAACUUUCAUCAUGAUCAAGCCUGAUGGCGUUCAGAGGGGCCUGGUAAUCAUUCUCUCUUAGUUUUUAAUCCCUUGUUUUACUGUUGGUAUCGUUAAAUUUUUGUAGCUUUGGUAGCUUACUGUUCAAAUCGUAUCUGGGUUUUAGUUCGUUUGUUUAUAGAUUUGUACGUUGUGUAUGAGGUUGGUGUGUAUCUGGUGUGUGGUACCAGUUGUGUAUCUGGUGUGUGAUUUGUGUCGAUGGAAAAUCAGAGGAAAUAUAUGUUUUCUUUUUAUUUUGGGGAACUGUUGAUCAAGAUAAAGUUAAGUAAUUUGAAUUGGGUUGAUUUUAUGUUGUUUUGAGCAUGUGCAAUUUAAUUUUGUGGGGUUCAUUGGAUUUGUAGUUGUAAAGCUUUCAAAUUUUCUUAGUAUUCUGUUUGCUUCAGGUUGGUGAGAUUAUCAGCAGGUUUGAGAAGAAGGGUUUCUCUUUGAAAGGUAACCUUUAACUUGGAUAGAAAUUUGAAGUGUCAUCUUAUUAACCUCACAAUGUUUUGUUCUUGUUGAAUAGUGAAUUGGUUUAUGUGCUAUGAUACUGUUGGAUACUUAUCUGGACUCUGUUCUUAAUUACUUUGUGGUUUGAGUUCAGGCCUGAAGUUUAUCACUGUGGAUCGUCCUUUCGCUGAGAAGCACUAUGCAGAUUUAUCUGCUAAGCCCUUUUUCAGUGGAUUGGUUGAUUAUAUUGUUUCUGGCCCUGUUGUUGCUAUGAUCUGGGAGGGUAAGAAUGUUGUGUUAACUGGCCGAAAGAUUAUUGGAGCCACAAACCCUGCAGACUCUGCCCCUGGAACCAUCCGUGGUGAUUUUGCCGUUGAGAUUGGCAGGUAAACCAUAUUUUUCACUCUCCUUUGCAUGAAAUACUGCAUUAGGUAAUAAGGGUCACUAUGAUGUGUUUGCAAAUCAUGUUCUUGUGAGUGUUAAUGUUAAAGGGUUGCUGCAUUUCAAGAACCCUGUACCAUUUAAGUUGAAUGGCUUUAUGCCUCCUAAACAAAACAAUGACUGAAUGCUCUAGUGAAACAUUAGGUGUGAGUGGUUUCUUGACCGCAGCUUAACAUUGUUCUCUUGCUUACAGGAACAUCAUUCAUGGAAGUGAUGCAGUUGAGAGUGCAAGGAAAGAGAUUGCACUUUGGUUCCCUGAAGGCCCUGUUCACUGGCAGAGCAGCCUUAGCCCCUGGAUCUAUGAAUAGAAGGCUGGCGGCCUCUAGUUGCUGAUGGAUGGUUAUCUAUUUUCAAUUCUACUUUUCUAUUUGAAGUCUGAUGUUGCCUAGUAUGGCUAAGACAUAAAACUUGUUUUAGUGCUUCUGGUUGAGUGUACUAUCUACCUAUUUAAAUGCAGUUUGAUAUUUUGAUCAAUUAUGAUUAAGCGAUGUUAAUUAUCCACAUACAUAAUCGCAUGAAAUUUAAUUCUUGUUCACUUGGAAUUAUAUUUCUAAGGAAUUGGCAAAAUUGAAACUUC
rnacentral:lncRNA from 1 species